rnacentral:rRNA from 1 species
ACUCCUACGGGAGGCAGCAGUGGGGAAUAUUGCACAAUGGGCGCAAGCCUGAUGCAGCCAUGCCGCGUGUGUGAAGAAGGCCUUCGGGUUGUAAAGCACUUUCAGUUGUGAGGAAGGUGGUGUCGUUAAUAGCGGCAUCAUUUGACGUUAGCAACAGAAGAAGCACCGGCUAACUCCGUGCCAGCAGCCGCGGUAAUACGGAGGGUGCGAGCGUUAAUCGGAAUUACUGGGCGUAAAGCGCAUGCAGGUGGUUUGUUAAGUCAGAUGUGAAAGCCCGGGGCUCAACCUCGGAACUGCAUUUGAAACUGGCAGACUAGAGUACUGUAGAGGGGGUAGAAGUUUCAGGUGUAGCGGUGAAAUGCGUAGAGAUCUGAAGGAAUACCGGUGGCGAAGGCGGCCCCUGGACAGAUACUGACACUCAGAUGCGAAAGCGUGGGAGCAAACAGGAUUAGAUACCCCUGGUAGCACAG